GAUGAACGCUAGCGAUAGGCCUAACACAUGCAAGUCGAGGGGCAGCAUAAGGAAGUAGCAAUACUUUCUGGUGGCGACCGGCGCACGGGUGAGUAACACGUAUGCAACCUGCCUUCAACAAGGGCAUAACCCGUUGAAAGACGGACUAAUACCCUAUAAUACAGGGGCCCCGCAUGGGGAUAUUUGUUAAAGAUUUAUCGGUUGAAGAUGGGCAUGCGUUCCAUUAGCUGGUUGGUGGGGUAACGGCCCACCAAGGCAACGAUGGAUAGGGGAACUGAGAGGUUUAUCCCCCACACUGGUACUGAGACACGGACCAGACUCCUACGGGAGGCAGCAGUGAGGAAUAUUGGUCAAUGGACGCAAGUCUGAACCAGCCACGUCGCGUGAAGGAAGACGGCCCUACGGGUUGUAAACUUCUUUUAUACGGGAAUAAAGUGCCCCACGCGUGGGGUUUUGCAUGUACCGUAUGAAUAAGGAUCGGCUAACUCCGUGCCAGCAGCCGCGGUAAAU
rnacentral:rRNA from 1 species